rnacentral:hammerhead_ribozyme from 1 species
GCACUGCUGAAGAGUCUCAUAAUAGGACGAAACGGUCGUCCAGUGC